UAGGAGGCCGGCGCCGACAGUCCUUUCACGUUGACCGGGCUCACGUUGCCGCCGGCCAGCUGGCAGGAGGCGUAGGACAUCGGCGCGGGCGGCUGGGCCAGCGGCCACGAGUUGUUCAUGAAGCCGGACUGCAGGUAAAGCGACUCUGAGCAGCAAGAAGGAAGCGUGUACUGGACACCCUGCAGAAGCGUCUCAAAGACACUUGGAAUGCCGAACAGGAGGGUACAAACUGCUGAGAUUAACGCCAACCCCGCUUUUGAUGGACAGCAACGGAUUUAGUCUCUACAUAAAAUGCACUAUAUUUAACUUGGAAACCAGUGCUGAAAAGCUGCUUGCAAGAAGGCAGAUGGGACGUCUUUUACAUUAAAAUCGGGUACCGCUGUUUUUAAUAGACAAUCGAAUAUAUCAAAGCGGUUUUUGCUGAAGUCUUGCAGAACAGUUACUGCAGUUCACAAACAUAAGGGGAAAAAGGCAACACAACAUUGCUAUUGAUUGUAAUUAACAUAGCGGUGAAUGUAAGCAAAGAGCGAAGAGGUCACUUUAAUACUAACAUUUCAACCUGGAUACUUUAUUGAUCUGAUGAAUUACAUUACCUCUGAUGUUACGGAAUCACAGCUUAAAUACCAACAGAAUGUAUUCUAAUGAUCACACACAGAUGUGUACAUACAAUGUACGUAUAUGAUGACUGACAUAUUCUUGGCGCCCUACAACUACUGGUAAACAUAUAACACAAGAUACCAGCAUAGAGUUUAACAUUAAACCAAUGAAGAAUAAAUUGAAUAGUAAUACCAAUCAGCUAAACCAAGCUACGCUCUUCUUUAUAUACUCACCACUGCAUACAGACAGAAUGGAUGUCUAUAUGGAAUUGUUUUUAAAGUGUCCCGGGAAAAACUAUAAUUUCACUUUUUUUGGUUCUUUUUAAGGAAUCCCUCUCAAUAGUCCACGUUAUAAUUACUCUGCCCCCAUCAAGCCAGAACGAAAUGAGCUGUAUGUAAGCAAAGAGAAUGACUCCGCGAGAGCUGGAAAACUUUCUUACUGCUACCCUAACAGGGACAGGUUAAAAAGCCUGUUUGUUUAUUUUCUCGACCCUAAUCCGUUGAUGUUGUCGUUCAGUGUCCCAGCUCAAAGGUAUAUAUGCAUGGUUAGCAUGGGGAGCUUUAACUUUUACCAGGCACAGCAUUAAGUAAACACACCUUUUGAGUUUGCUCUACUCUGAGGAGAAAUAGGCGGUUACGAUACAAGGUCUAGCAGUCAGACAGCAGAAAAGCCAUGCAUCUGUUUUAAUAUUAAAUGGAUGUAGUCCUUGUUGUUCAGGUCCUUUUCGUUGACAGAGUAGGGCCUGAUCCUGUACUUCCUGAAGACAGUGGUAAAACUCUCACUGACUUCAAGAUUAGACCCUCAAAGCUUUCUGCUUCCUGCCCUCACUCAGCUAAAAUGAGAUUGCUUUCAAACACCGACCCCUAGAAAGAUGAAAAGAAAGGGAAUGUGAUUCACAUCCCUUCCAAAUGGAAUUGCCCUUAUGUUUCAGGGCCUUAAAAAUGUAUUUCCUAUGUUCAGCAUCAUUACUAAAGCACCAAGGCUUUAGUAAUGAUGAACAAUCUUGUUACAAUUGUAAGUAUUUCUAGUCCUUCUCCUCCAUAAAGAUGUAAUGCAUUAUUUUAAAUCCCGGGAUUAUUUGUUCCAAAAACAAUUGUAGAAAAAAUAAUAUUUGCAUGUAAACAUGACAUUUUAUGGACUGUUCUCUAUCCUAAAAGUAAUGAGAAUCAAAUAAAUAUAGUGUGGGAAACAAA